rnacentral:antisense_RNA from 1 species
UUCAAUGGUGAUUCAGGUGGGGGAGACGUAAGUCUCGCUGGUUAUGAGUGCCAGUCCGCGAACCCUGUCUGAAUCGCCACCAUC